rnacentral:rRNA from 1 species
GAUGAACGCUGGCGGCGUGCCUAAUACAUGCAAGUCGAGCGAACAGACGAGGAGCUUGCUCCUCUGACGUUAGCGGCGGACGGGUGAGUAACACGUGGAUAACCUACCUAUAAGACUGGGAUAACUUCGGGAAACCGGAGCUAAUACCGGAUAAUAUAUUGAACCGCAUGGUUCAAUAGUGAAAGACGGUUUUGCUGUCACUUAUAGAUGGAUCCGCGCCGCAUUAGCUAGUUGGUAAGGUAACGGCUUACCAAGGCAACGAUGCGUAGCCGACCUGAGAGGGUGAUCGGCCACACUGGAACUAAGACACGGUCCAGACUCCUACGGGAGGCAGCAGUAGGGAAUCUUCCGCAAUGGGCGAAAGCCUGACGGAGCAACGCCGCGUGAGUGAUGAAGGUCUUCGGAUCGUAAAACUCUGUUAUUAGGGAAGAACAAAUGUGUAAGUAACUAUGCACGUCUUGACGGUACCUAAUCGGAAAGCCACGGGUAACUACGUG